GUUGGCCAGAAGACCAGAUUAUUUGUUGCUGUGCAAUUGUUUUGUAUAAAAUUGCAAGAGAAAUAGUCUGACAUUCUGACUUAU
ensembl:miRNA aca-mir-5399 aca-mir-5399